rnacentral:rRNA from 1 species
UACGUAGGGGGCAAGCGUUGUCCGGAUUUAUUGGGCGUAAAGAGCGUGUAGGCGGCCUUACAGGUCAGCUGUGAAAACUCGAGGCUCAACCUCGAGACGCCGGUGGAAACCGUAAAGCUAGAGUCCGGAAGAGGAGAGUGGAAUUCCUGGUGUAGCGGUGAAAUGCGCAGAUAUCAGGAAGAACACCCGUGGCGAAGGCGGCUCUCUGGGACGGUACUGACGCUGAGACGCGAAAGCGUGGGGAGCGAACAGG